UAUGGCCAUAUCAUGUUGAAAUACCAGUUCUCAUCAGAUCACCUAAGUUAAGCAAUAUCAAGCCUGGUCAAUACCUAGAAGAGUGAUAUUUUGGGAAUACCAGGUACUGCU